rnacentral:rRNA from 1 species
AGAGUUUGAUCCUGGCUCAGGACGAACGCUGGCGGUGUGCUUCACACAUGCAAGUCGAACGGGGUAGCAAUACCUAGUGGCGGACGGGUGAGUAACGCGUGGGAAUCUGCCUUAAGAUGGGGGAUAGCGGGCCGAAAGGCCCAUUAAUACCGCAUAUGUAAUUAUUCAGACAUGGGUAAUUAUGAAGGGAGUAAUCCGUCUUAAGAUGAGCCCGCGUCCGAUUAGCUAGUUGGUAGGGUAACGGCCUACCAAGGCGACGAUCGGUAGGUGGUCUGAGAGGAUGAUCACCCACAAUGGGACUGAGACACGGCCCAUACUCCUACGGGAGGCAGCAGUGGGGAAUUUUGUGCAAUGGGCGAAAGCCUGACACAGCGACACCGCGUGAGCGAAGAAGCCCUUUGGGGUGUAAAGCUCUGUCGGCUGGAACGAAACAAAUGACGGUACCAGCAAAGGAAGCAUCGGCUAACUACGUGCCAGCAGCCGCGGUAAGACGUAGGAUGCAAGCGUUGUCCGGAUUUAUUGGGCGUAAAGAGUUCGUAGGCGGUCCGUUAAGUCUGAUGUUAAAGAUCGGGGCUCAACCCUGGGAGUGCAUUGGAUACUGGCGGACUGGAGUGCGGUAGAGGCUAGUGGAAUUCCCAGUGUAGCGGUGAAAUGCGUAGAUAUUGGGAAGAACACCAGUGGCGUAGGCGACUAGCUGGGCCGUAACUGACGCUGAGGAACGAAAGCCAGGGGAGCGAAUGGGAUUAGAUACCCCAGUAGUCCUGGCCGUAAACGAUGGAUACUAGGCGUAGCGGGUAUCGACCCCUGCUGUGCCGUAGCUAACGCGAUAAGUAUCCCGCCUGAGUAGUACGGCCGCAAGGUUGAAACUCAAAGGAAUUGACGG